UACAGAGGUCUCAAGCGUUGUUCGGAUUCAUUGGGCGUAAAGGGGGCGUAGGCGGCGCGGUAAGUCGGGUGUGAAAUCUCGGAGCUUAACUCCGAAACUGCAUUCGAUACUGCCGUGCUUGAGGACUGGAGAGGAGACUGGAAUUUACGGUGUAGCGGUGAAAUGCGUAGAUAUCGUAAGGAAGACCAGUGGCGAAGGCGGGUCUCUGGACAGUUCCUGACGCUGAAGCACGAAGGCCAGGGGAGCAAACGGG
rnacentral:rRNA from 1 species